UCAAUUGUCAACAACAUGAACCUCAAAUUUUCAGCAGCGUUUAUACCUAGCAACAUUCAAAUUGCAGAGGUUUUGCUGAAAGCAGCUUUGAUCGUCACAGACUUCAACAUUGAAACUGCUUCUUUUCUUGUGGAUGACAUACAGGUAUCAAGUGGAGUAAGCCACAACAUCAGCCUCAUCACUGCACUCAGCUUGGUCCUGCUGUCAUGGCUUCUUUCAAACCAGCAAUAACGUCUCUGCUGGUUUCCAGAGGAAGAUGUGCUGGAAAAUGUCAAUUCUUACUGGUGUGAAGAAGGACAUUCUAAAAAUUUACUCAUGACACUUUAAAACUUUAAAAACAUUUAUUGAAUCUUGAUACUGUAUAACAGUGAAUAUGUUUAUUUGAAUUGUCAGGCUCUUUAAGUUUGUUCAUAUCAGUUCUUUCUUAUUUAUUUAUGUAAAUUUAAUUAUUAUGGUAAAGUAAUAUAAUUUAUAAUCUGUGAACGGUAACAUGAAGGUAAUUAAGGAUUAUUUAGGUCAGAGACUGUUUAUGUAAUCCUUAAGAUUUCUCUCUCAAUCAAUAUUGUAAAACUGUCUGAUCAAUGUCCUGUAUGAUUGUCUAGUUUUUCUUUUUCUUUUAGUUGUAUUUAUCACAAAAAUAUUUUGUAUUCAGUAUGCUGAAAGUAUUUUUGCUUAUUUUUUCCUGUAUAGAUAUCAAUAUAAUAAAGAUAAAUUAUAAGAUACAGCGUUGGUCCUAGACUAAAUUUAUCAGAGUGUCCAAGGUGGGGCGAUCAUUUUUUUUAUGGGGGCACAUAGUAAAAAAUUUUAAAAAAAGAAAAAUCUUCAUUUUAUACAUUAUGUGAAGCUCCAGAUUGCAGAGCGCUUGGGGUUGAAAUUCAGCCUGGGGACUUGAAGAAGUCUUUAAUCUGUUUCUAAAACAUAAUCAGCAUUUAACAUAUAUGUAUUUAAUGGCACAGUUAAAAGUAACAAAAGUUUAUUAAACAAUCAGAUUAUAAAAAUUAAAGCAAAUUUAAUGGAACAAAAAAAAACAACCUCCAAGGCUAUACAGAACUAUUACAUUAUGAAGGGAAAUUAUUCAUAUUUAAACUUAAAACAGAACAGGACAACUACGUGUAGCCUCUAUAUUGAGAUUUUUUUUAAUUAUAUUUUAUUUUGAACACAGGUUUUCUCCUAAAAUGUUUCCUCUUACAUUAAAGGAAUCUGUGCCUUUUAUUGGUCAGCCAGUAGGGACUGAUUUUAUUAAUUAGCGUUACAUGUGUAAUUAUUAAUGCUGUGUGUGCCCUGAACACAAACACAUGUAGGUAAUGAUGGCUGACCUGCUGUAGUCCUGGAAGAUUUUCUUCAGCCUUACCUACAUCAUCCAAUCGCUGCGUCAUGAGCUUCUACCACAACCUAUCAGCAUCGGAAUGCACCUCAAUUAACUUCUCCAUCUACGGCUCCAUCUGCCCACCAGUCGGGCUUCAACCCACCUCCAUCCCUUCUUCUCCACCCUUGUUCUUCCAUCUUCUUCAGACUUCCACCCUCUCCUUUGCCUCCUCCACCAGUGUCCAGGUCCCGGGGGGAAGACGUCUCUAAUCCUCAUGCUAAUCUGCUCAUCCAAGCCUAUAGCAUUUCACAGCUUCCAUGUCUUCUACCGGAUGCCAUAACAUUAAUCCAUAUCACAGGAGAAAUUGGUCUGGAUAGAUUUGAAUUCCCUUUACUGCUUUUUCACAAACUUCAAGCCUGAUUGUUGCAAUUAUAUUUUGAAGUACCCAAUGUUAAAAUUCACCAAUAGAAAACUCACUUUUUUUGUCUUUUUGCAGCUUGAACCACUCUACCAGGCAGCGUUCGCUUCUUACCGCAGUUUCAUUGUGAUUUCAUUCAGGUAUGAGUUGCAGAUAAAUUCUGAAGACUAUUUAAUGUGAAUGUGCACAGAAUAACUGAAAUGUUGUUACCUCUGCAGCAAAGGAUCAAUCAUCAACAACAUUGACCUUGGAUUUGCAACAGCAUCCCAACCUAGUAGCACCCAAAUCACAGAUAUUUUGGUGAAAGCAAAUUCAACCAUCACAGCUUUCAACAUUGACAUCAAUUCAAUUUUUGUGGAUGGCACACAAACGUCGAGUGGAGCAAGCCAUACAAUCAGCCUCAUCACUGCAUUCAGCAUGGUCCUGUUGUCAUGGCUUCUUUCAACACAACAAUAACGUCUCUGCUGGCUUCCAGAGGAAAAUCUGCAUGAAAAUGUCAAUUAUUGCUUGUGUGAACAAGAAUGUUGUUCUAAUUCCAGACCAAGAUUCACUUAGAAUUUUAAACUUUAAAACAUUUAUUGAAACUUGAUCAUUUCCUCAUGUCAAUUUUGUCUUAUUUAUUAAUGAAAAACUAAUUAUUCUGUGUCAUUGUAUUAACUUAUCAUAUUCAUCAUGAAGGUAUUUCUUGAAGGAUUAUUUAGUUUGGUGAAGAUUUCUCUCAAUAAAUAUUGUAGGAUUUACCAAAAAUAAGCUGUCUGAGCAACGUCCUGUAUGAUUGUCCAGUUUUUCUUUUCCUUUUAAUUGUAUUUAUAACAGAAGGUAUUCUGUAAAGAAUAUACCUAUCAGUUUAAUAAAAGAUAAUGAAAACACAA